CCCUUAGAUGUUCUGGGCCGCACGCGCGUUACACUGAUGCAUUCAACGAGCUUAUAACCUUGGCCGAGAGGCCUGGGCAAUCUUGUUAACGUGCAUCGUGAUAGGGAUAGAUUAUUGAAAUUAUUAAUCUUGAAUGAGGAAUUCCUAGUAAACGCAGAUCAUCAAUCUGCAUUGAUUACGUCCCUGCCCUUUGUACACACCGCCCGUCGCACCUACCGAUUGGAUGGUCCGGUGAAGCCUCGGGAUUGUGGUUCUUGCCGCUUUAUUGUGGCGUGACCGCGAGAACUUGUCUAAACCUUAUCAUCUAGAGGAAGGUGAAGUCGUAACA
rnacentral:rRNA from 1 species